rnacentral:rRNA from 1 species
AGCAGCCGCGGUAAUUCCAGCUCCAAUAGCGUAUAUUAAAGUUGUUGCAGUUAAAAAGCUCGUAGUUGAAUUUCGGGAUUAGUACGUCGGUCGUGCCUUCGGUACGUACUGGUGUUACUGAUUCCUACCUUCUGACGAACCAUCAUGUUAUUAAUUUGGUGUGGCGGGGAAUCAGGACUGUUACUUUGAAAAAAUUAGAGUGUUUAAAGCAGGCUCGCGCUUGAAUACAUUAGCAUGGAAUAAUGAAAUAGGACGUUGACCCUAUUUUGUUGGUUUCUAGGAUUGACGUAAUGAUUAAUAGGGAUAGUUGGGGGCAUUAGUAUUCAAUUGUCAGAGGUGAAAUUCUUGGAUUUAUUGAAGACUAACUACUGCGAAAGCAUUUGCCAAGGAUGUUUUCAUUAAUCAAGGACGAAAGUUAGGGGAUCGAAGACGAUCAGAUACCGUCGUAGUCUUAACCAUAAACUAUGCCGACUAGGGAUCGGAUGAUGUUAUUUUUAAUGACUCAUUCGGCGCCUUACGG